rnacentral:rRNA from 1 species
UACGUAGGUGGCAAGCGUUGUCCGGAUUUACUGGGCGUAAAGGGUGCGUAGGUGGAUAUUUAAGUCAGAUGUGAAACCCCCAGGCUCAACCUGGGAACUGCAUUUGAAACUGGAUAUCUGGAGUGCAGGAGAGGUAAGUGGAAUUCCUAGUGUAGCGGUGAAAUGCGUAGAGAUUAGGAAGAACACCAGUGGCGAAGGCGGGUCUCUGGGCCGAUACUGACGCUGAGGAGCGAAAGCGUGGGGAGCAAACAGG